rnacentral:rRNA from 1 species
UACGUAGGCAGCAAGCGUUGUUCGGAAUUACUGGGCGUAAAGAGUGUGUAGGCGGUGCUCUAAGUUCGGUGUGAAAUCUCCCGGCUCAACUGGGAGGGUGCGCCGGAAACUGGGGUGCUGGAGCGCGGGAGAGGAAAGCGGAAUUCCUGGUGUAGCGGUGAAAUGCGCAGAUAUCGGGAAGAACACCCGCGGCGAAGGCGGCUCUCUGGGACGGUACUGACGCUGAGACGCGAAAGCGUGGGGAGCGAACAGG